rnacentral:rRNA from 1 species
UACGUAGGUGGCAAGCGUUGUCCGGAAUUAUUGGGCGUAAAGCGCGCGCAGGUGGUUUCUUAAGUCUGAUGUGAAAGCCCACGGCUCAACCGUGGAGGGUCAUUGGAAACUGGGGAACUUGAGUGCAGAAGAGGAAAGUGGAAUUCCACGUGUAGCGGUGAAAUGCGUAGAGAUGUGGAGGAACACCAGUGGCGAAGGCGGCUACCUGGACCAGCACUGACGCUGAGGCACGAAAGCGUGGGGAGCAAACAGG